CCUACGGGAGGCAGCAGUGGGGAAUAUUGCACAAUGGGGGGAACCCUGAUGCAACGACGCCGCGUGGGUGAAGGAGUAUUUCGGUAUGUAAAGCCCUAUCAGCAGGGAAGAACCAUGACGGUACCUGACUAAGAAGCACCGGCUAAAUACGUGCCAGCAGCCGCGGUAAUACGGAUGGUGCAAGCGUUAUCCGGAUUUACUUGGUGUAAAGGGAGCGCAGGCGGCGCGUUAAGCCUGGUGUGAAAGUCCGCGGCCCAACCGCGGGACUGCAUUGGGAACUGGCGCGCUGGAGUGCCGGAGGGGUAGGCGGAAUUCCUAGUGUAGCGGUGAAAUGCGUAGAUAGUAGGAGGAACACCAGUGGCGAAGGCGGCCUACUGGACGGUGACUGACGCUGAGGCUCGAAAGCGUGGGGAGCAAACAGGAUUAGAUACCCUGGUAGUC
rnacentral:rRNA from 1 species